rnacentral:rRNA from 1 species
CCUACGGGAGGCAGCAGUGAGGAAUAUUGGUCAAUGGACGAGAGUCUGAACCAGCCAAGUAGCGUGAAGGAUGACUGCCCUAUGGGUUGUAAACUUCUUUUAUAUGGGAAUAAAAUGUUCCACGUGUGGGAUUUUGUAUGUACCAUAUGAAUAAGGAUCGGCUAACUCCGUGCCAGCAGCCGCGGUAAUACGGAGGAUCCGAGCGUUAUCCGGAUUUAUUGGGUUUAAAGGGAGCGUAGGUGGAUUGUUAAGUCAGUUGUGAAAGUUUGCGGCUCAACCGUAAAAUUGCAGUUGAAACUGGCAGUCUUGAGUACAGUAGAGGUGGGCGGAAUGCGUGGUGUAGCGGUGAAAUGCAUAGAUAUCACGAAGAACUCCGAUUGCGAAGGCAGUUCACUGGACUGCAACUGACACUGAGGCUCGAAAGUGUGGGUAUCAAACAGGAUUAGAUACCCUUGUAGUC